GUGAGGAAUAUUGGUCAAUGGGCGGGAGCCUGAACCAGCCAAGUCGCGUGAAGGAAGAAGGAUCUAUGGUUCGUAAACUUCUUUUGCAGGGGAAUAAAGUGCAGGACGUGUCCUGUUUUGUAUGUACCCUGAGAAUAAGGAUCGGCUAACUCCGUGCCAGCAGCCGCGGUAAUACGGAGGAUCCGAGCGUUAUCCGGAUUUAUUGGGUUUAAAGGGUGCGUAGGCGGUAGCUUAAGUCAGUGGUGAAAGUUUGCAGCUCAACUGUAAAAUUGCCAUUGAAACUGGGUUACUUGAGUACGGUAGAGGUAAGCGGAAUGCGUGGUGUAGCGGUGAAAUGCAUAGAUAUCACGCAGAACUCCGAUUGCGAAGGCAGCUUACUAAGCUACAACUGACACUGAAGCACGAAAGCGUGGGGAUCAAACAGGAUUAGAUACCCGGGUAGUCC
rnacentral:rRNA from 1 species